rnacentral:rRNA from 1 species
GGGGAAUCUUAGACAAUGGGGGCAACCCUGAUCUAGCCAUGCCGCGUGAGUGAUGAAGGCCUUAGGGUUGUAAAGCUCUUUCAGCUGUGAAGAUAAUGACGGUAGCAGCAGAAGAAGUCCCGGCUAACUCCGUGCCAGCAGCCGCGGUAAUACGGAGGGGACUAGCGUUGUUCGGAAUUACUGGGCGUAAAGCGCACGUAGGCGGAUCAGAAAGUUGGGGGUGAAAUCCCGGGGCUCAACCCCGGAACUGCCUUCAAAACUAUUGGUCUGGAGUUCGAGAGAGGUGAGUGGAAUACCGAGUGUAGUGGUGAAAUUCGUAGAUAUUCGGUGGAACACCAGUGGCGAAGGCGGCUCACUGGCUCGAUACUGACGUUGAGGUGCGAAAGCGUGGGGAGCAAAC